ACUGGGACCUGGGCACUUGAGCGAGGAGGUACAAGAGUGGAUGGAAUUACUCAGAGGCAGGGUGGAGAGUGACAGAAGACAGUGGACUUCUCUUGAGGAAGAGCGUGGUUGGACAGUAGCUGGGAGAGAGCACAAGGGAGGGAAACAGCAUAAGCAAUGGCCUAGGGGUCAGCCAAGAGGAUGUAGACGAGACCGUCGGGACCAGGCCACCUGGACUGAAAACGUCAUGCGAUACGUUGCUGCGGCGGGAGAAGAAACUGCCUACAUAAUUACAGAGGGCCCGAAGAGAACAGCUGGAGCAGCCGGGGACCACAGAGAGAGGAUGCUGCUGCUGCCUGCAUGGGAAAUGGCAUCUUGGCAGCUCCGUUGUCGGAGGACCAGUCCGCGCUCUCCUUGUGAAGGCCACCUCACUCCUAACUAAGAAACUUAAGGAAAUGGGCCAGAAAUCCAUACUCCAUCUCUGGACACCUAUGCCUCUCAACUUGCUACUAUAACAAAUCUUGCCUUAGAAAGGUGAAUAGAAUCUAAACUUCACCAUAGUCUAUCAGAUCCUCUUCAACAUCAACUCUUGUCAUUUUUUCCUUUAUUCUGGGUCCCCUUUCAGUACUUUGAAGAUGUCAAACCCAUUUCCGCUUCAAGGUCUUUGAAUGUGUGUUUUUUUUUUUUUUUCCUUCUGGAAUGGUCUUCUCCUCCCUUGGCAGGGCUGGCCCUAUCUCAUUCUUCUAAUCCUAAACAUCAUUUCUUUCCCAAGAUCCCUUUUGACCAGCCUAUUUAAAGUGGUUUCUCCAUCACUGUACCUGUUAGCUUCCUCACAGCACUAUCACAACUUGUAAUUAUAUAUG
ensembl:lncRNA